UAAAAGCCCCCCGCUUACACCGGGAAAAUAUUUGUUUAACCCAAAUCAUUUUGA
rnacentral:tRNA from 1 species